GACGAACGCUGGCGGCGUGCUUAACACAUGCAAGUCGAACGAAGUGGCGAACGGGUGAGUAACGCGUAAGCAACCUGCCCUUCAGAGGGGGACAACAGUUGGAAACGACUGCUAAUACCGCAUACUGAAGGAGGGGAUUGCGUCUGAUUUGCUCGUGGGAGGGGUAACGGCCCACCAAGGCGAGUAUCAGUAGCCGGGCUGGGAGGAUGAACGGCCACAUUGGGACUGAGACACGGCCCAGACUCCUACGGGAGGCAGCAGUUGGGAAUCUUCCGCAAUGGACGAAAGUCCGACUGAGCAACGUCGCGUGAGUGAUGACGGCCUUCGGGUUGUAAAGCUCUGUUAAUCGGGACGCGGUACCGGAAUAGAAAGCCACGGCUAACUACGUGCCAGCAGCCGCGGUAAUAC
rnacentral:rRNA from 1 species